rnacentral:rRNA from 1 species
CUACUCGAAGAGACUUCCUACUCUUGACAUCCAGAGAACUUAGCAGAGAUGCUUUGGUGCCUUCGGGAACUCUGAGACAGGUGCUGCAUGGCUGUCGUCAGCUCGUGUUGUGAAAUGUUGGGUUAAGUCCCGCAACGAGCGCAACCCUUAUCCUUUGUUGCCAGCGAUUCGGUCGGGAACUCAAAGGAGACUGCCAGUGAUAAACUGGAGGAAGGUGGGGAUGACGUCAAGUCAUCAUGGCCCUUACGAGUAGGGCUACACACGUGCUACAAUGGCAUAUACAAAGAGAAGCGACCUCGCGAGAGCAAGCGGACCUCAUAAAGUAUGUCGUAGUCCGGAUUGGAGUCUGCAACUCGACUCCAUGAAGUCGGAAUCGCUAGUAAUCGUAGAUCAGAAUGAUCACGGGAGUACGACCUUA